AGAGUUUGAUCCUGGCUCAGGAUGAACGCUGGCGGCGUGCCUAAUACAUGCAAGUCGAACGGGUAUAGCAAUAUACUAGUGGCGACCGGGUGAGUAACACGUAGCUGACCUGCCCCUCAGCGGGGGAUAACGUUCCGAAAGGGACGCUAAUACCGCAUACACUCGUCGGGACUAGAAGCCGAUGAGGAAACUUCAGGGGUUGAGGGAGGGGGCUGCGGCCCAUCAGGUAGUUGGUGAGGUAACGGCUCACCAAGCCAAUGACGGGUAGGGGGCCUGAGAGGGUGGUCCCCCACACUGGAACUGACACACGGUCCAGACUCCUACGGGAGGCAGCAGUAAGGGAUAUUGGUCAAUGGGCGAAAGCCUGAACCAGCAACGCCGCGUGCAGGAUGACGGCCUUCGGGUUGUAAACUGCUUUGGAAGGGGACGAGCAAGGACGGUACCCUUCGAACAAGUCACGGCUAACUACGUGCCAGCAGCCGCGGUAAAACGUAGGUGGCAAGCGUUAUCCGGAUUUACUGGGCGUAAAGCAUGUGCAGACGGGUUGGUAAGUGGUGUAUGAAAGCGUCCGGCUUAACCGGGCAAGCGUAUGCCAGACUGCCAGUCUUGAGAGUGGGAGAGGGAUGUGGAAUUCCGGGUGUAGUGGUGAAAUGCGUAGAGAUCCGGAGGAACCCCAGAGGCGAAGGCGGCGUCCUGGCCCAUUUCUGACGUUCAGACAUGACAGCAUGGGGAGCGAACGGGAUUAGAAACCCCGGUAGUCCAUGCCGUAAACGAUGUCGACUAGGCGCUGGGCGGGUAAUACCGCGCGGUGCCGCAGCUAACGCGAUAAGUCGACCGCCUGGGGACUACGACCGCAAGGUUAAAACUCAAAGGAAUUGACGGGGGCCCGCACAAGCAGCGGAGCGUGUGGUUUAAUUCGAGGCUACACGAAGAACCUUACCUAGGUUUGCAUGGUAACGAACGAGGGUGAAAGCCUGAGGUUCGCAAGACGUUACCACUGGUGCUGCAUGGCUGUCGUCAGCUCGUGUCGUGAGAUGUUAGGUUAAGUCCUGUAACGAGCGCAACCCCCGGAAGUAGUUACACGUUGUCUACUUCAACUGCCUGCGCAAGUGGGAGGAAGGUGGGGAUGACGUCAAGUCAGCAUGGCCUGUAUAUCUAGGGCUACACACACGCUACAAUGGUCGGUACAACAGGUUGCCAAGCCGCAAGGCGGAGCUAAUCCUCUAAAGCCGAUCUCAGUUCAGAUUGUGGGCUGCAACCCGCCCACAUGAAGUCGGAGUUGCUAGUAACCGUGCGUCAGCUAUAGCGCGGUGAAUACGUUCCCGGGCCUUGUACACACCGCCCGUCACGUCAUGGGAGCUGGUCACGCCUGAAGCCGGUGGGCUAACCGCAAGGAGGCAGCCGUCUAGGGUAGGGCCGGUGACUGGGACGAAGUCGUAACAAGGUAGCUGUACCGGAAGGUGCGGCUG
rnacentral:rRNA from 1 species